AUGGACGGCGCCGGCGGGAUCUUCGCCGCCGUCGUGUGCGCGCUGCUGGUCUUUGCCAUCUUCCCCCUCCUCCUCUGGCGCCGCCGCUCCGAUGCCACCGCCGCGGUCGACAACCACCGCCUCCCGCCCCAGCCACUCCAGGGGGAACGGGUGCUUCGUGGCGGCGCUGCGGCGCGCCGCAUGCGUAGGAGGCCAGCUGCGGCGAGUUCGUCGGCAGCGUCCACCAGUCGUGAUGUUGCAGAUGAUGAGUCAGGGAGCGAGGAGGAGGAUCCCAAUGUCCCUAAAGGCUCCAAGAAGGAAAGGAAAAGGCAAGAGAGGGAAGAGCGGGAGGCGCAGCGCCAGGCUAAUGAAGCAGCACGGAAUUCAAGGAGAACUAAUCAAGACCGUUAUGAGGAAAUGAGGAGGAAGAAGGAUGAGGAGCGUGAGGCCCAAGAGAGAUUAUUGGAAGAAGAAGCUAUGGCACGGAAAGCCAAGGAAGAGGAAGCUGCUGCUCUGGAAUUUGAGAAAUGGAAAGGGGCCUUUUCAGUUGAUGCUGAAGGGACAACUGAAAGUGAGACGCAAGAUGGUGGCCAGGGUUUGCUCCACAAUUUUGUGGAAUACAUCAAGAAGCAGAAGUGUGUUCCACUAGAAGAUCUUGCUGGAGAGUUUGGAAUGCGAACACAGGACUGCAUAAACCGAAUUAUUACGCUUGAAGGCAUGGAUAGAUUAUCUGGCGUGAUGGAUGACCGUGGAAAGUUCAUCUACAUAUCAAUUGAGGAGAUGCAGGCCGUUGCAGACUACAUCAGGAAGCAUGGGAGGGUGAGCAUAUCACACCUGGCCAACAACUCGAAUGAAUUCAUAGAUCUGGAGCCAAAGCCCCUGUAUGAUGAGAAGGAGGAGAGUCAUCAAGAUGAAAGCGCCCCGGCAGGCGUAGUUGCGGAGGCCUGA
rnacentral:rRNA from 1 species